rnacentral:lncRNA from 1 species
AUUUAUAGUAAUCGGAGUCCGAACGAAGUCCCGAGGAUUGAAUAGAUGUGAGCCGUUAGAUCUUAUUUAGUCUCUUUAUAUAACCAACCAAAAAAAACAAACGAAAAAAAAAAGAAACAGGAGCGAUUCUCCUGUAGCCCUAGCCGCCGCACCUCCUGCGCUCUGCCGCCGCCGCUGCUGUUCCUCUCUUCGCCGGCGCCGCCGCUGGUGCAGCCGUCGCCGGUCGCCACAGCCUUCGUCGUCCGCAGCCGGUCGUUGGUGAGCUACUGUUGUUUCUGUUAAUUUCCCUGCUGCUGCCGAACCCUGCUGUUGCCGAUCUGAUCUCUUCCUUGCUGGUGGUGCACGGCUUGCUGUUGCUGCCGAUAUUCGUUUCUGCUGCUGCUGGCCUGCAAUGAACAGGAAGGAGGGAGAGAAGGCAGAGAAGAACAGGAAGGAAGGAAAGAAGGGGAAAUUUGAUAGAAGAAGGGAAAUUUGGGGAAUUUGGUGAAUAUUUCCAAAUUCUUCAUUUUUCUUAUACAUUAGUACUGCUAGGUAAUCCGUUUUAGUCUAUAGUUGUUUCUAAUUUAUAUUUAAGACGAUCUGUUUCCGGUUUUUUCGAAUUUAUUUUAUAUCGAACGCUAGGCUGAAACCGUAUUUUCAAAUCUGGUAUUAAACCAUCAGGAAUCAGGUUAGUUGUCCUAAAUAAAGUUUGUAGUCAUUGUCAAUAUCUUUCCAACGGUGCUAGUUUCACUCGAUUCCGAUAAACGGUUUAGGAGAAACAGCAAAAACAGUACUGCUGACCGGGUCCGGAAAUCAGGACAGCAGUUCGUUUUUCCUUAAUCUGGAAUUUUCAGAGUCAUAAUCUGAUUUUGUGCUCAACAUGAAAGUUGUAGACAAUUUUGUCUAGAUGUCCAAAGUUGUAUUAUUUGCUAGUUUCCGUUAGACGGUUUGUGAGUUACUCAUAAAACAGUAAUGGAACAGCUAUAGGUUAUUUAAUACAAAUCGAUAAAAGGUUUAUAUGUUCUAGGUUUCGAUUUUAGUAAAUAUCCCUUGUAACCAUCGUUAGUUGAAUAUAGUGGUUUAUGCGUAGUUUUGCUCCACAGGUGUGGAGGGUUCCAACGUUGGAGGAGUUGAGUCGGAGUAUCGAAUGAGUUAAGGCAAGUACAAGACGGACUUAUGUGAUGGACAAAACUGAGUUGUUUUGUUUGCCUUUACUUGCAUAAUUAUUAUUCAAUUGCUUGUUAUUACUGAUUGUAUGGCUAUGACGUUAUGCUACUUAUUCCUGUUUUGACCCAUAUUCAAAUUCAUGACGUUAUUCAUGUUUCAUUAUUCCGGAUGUUCUGUUUACAUUAUUCAAGAACCAUGCGUAGCCAUGGGAGUGCAAUUUGGAUCUUUAUUCAUGAUCCUUGAGAAGCGCUGAUCACGCUUGCUCGGCUUACCGGUAAUGCUAAGAGGAUAUUCACACCUGCCCGGGAGGGAACUACUAUCUUUUGACUUCUUUGGUUUAAAAAUAAAGUAAAUCCAACCCUUCAUGUUGGUUUCUUAAUGCAUAAAACAUGCGUAUGUUUUACUAGUUCAAGAUUGUAUUUGCUGAGUAUUCUUUACUCACUCUUGUGUUUAAUUUGGUUUUUAGGUACCUAAUGACAUCGAUCGGCAUGGGGCGGGAGUAGCACCCUUGGACUACACAUUAUUAUUGCACACAAUUGAAAUUAGUUUUAGACUAUGAUUUUUGCUCAGCAUAAGUUUUGCAUAGAACUUGUAAAGGUCAUUUAAGGUUCUGAUCCUUAUUUUUCACGUGGGAUUUGUGGAGCUAGGAUGGUUUGGAUUGUGUGGUUUAUAUCGGUAUUGACCUUUCUUAUAACUGUCUGUCGUGAUGUCCGUAUUUUUAGGGGAGACUCUACCAAAAUUUCUAAUAAUUUUAGGACUUAGUUUUUGAGUGUAUUUUGGUGUGGCAUUCUAUGUACGUGGUUACCUGGGGUAUUACAGUUGGUAUCAGAGCGGGCGGUAGGUCCAUGGGAAGUGACUGGGUAAUGAGAUAUAUAAAUCAACAUAAAAUUUUGAACUAGAGUUCCUAACCAAUUAAAAAAAAUACUUUCUCUUAGGGUAGGAAAUAAUAAGAGUAGAACUUGGGUUAUAUAUAAACAUCUAAAAGAACUUGACACACUGGUGCACAAUAGGAAUGGGAGCAUGGGUCAUUCCUAGCAUUUAUGUUUCUGCUGCAUAUAUAUGUGUAUGAUUGUGUUUCCUUGCAUGCCAUUGUCUAACCUAUUGUUAAACUAAUAACGUGUAAAUGCUUGUGUUUGAUAUAGCUAUGCCGCCUAGAGUGAGUGUUUGGUUGGCUAACAGAGGCCGCGGGAGAGGCGGAGGUAGAGGUCGUGGUAGGGGCCACUAUAAUGAAGAAGUUGAAAAUACUCAGGAUAAUGAAGAGGUUGGGAACAACUCGGUUGCUGAAUCCCCUAUUCCUAAUCGUGGAGGUCGUGGUAGGGGCCGUGCUGGAGGCCGUGGAAGAGGUUGUGGUAGAGGUCGCCAUAAUGAGGCAGCAUCCUCGAACCAGAAGGAGGAUGAGCACAUGGAAGAGGAGGGUGGUAGCCAUUCAGCUGCUGUCUCUGAUGAUGCUCCUCGAGCUGCUCGGGGGAUGACACUCACUAGAUGGACAUCCAUGCGCUUAGACACAUUUGAUGGGUCUGGUACUCCCGUUAAUGCUGCAGACUGGUUACGCAAGAUGGAGAAGUAUAUGAGGGGAUCUAGAAUGACUCCUGAGGAGAAGGUUACUUUCAUGCCUUUUCAGUUGACUGGUCAGGCGGACAUUUGGUGGGAUGGAGUUGUUGAAGCGUGGAACCCUGAUCGUGGUGCUAUUACUUGGGAAGUUUUUCUUCAGCAGUUCAGAGCUAAGUAUUAUCCAGAAUCAUUUAGGGACAAGAUGAGUGAUGAGUUAAACAAUAUCCAACAGGGAAGCAAGACUGUUGAUGAGUAUGAACGGGAGUUCAGCAGUAUUGUACGCUUUGUGCCUAGCGUGGCAAAUGAUGAGCGUGAGAAGGCUAGGAAGUUCUUUCGAGGGCUCAAUGCUCGGUAUAGAGAAGUGAUGGGAAGAAACCCGCCUACUAUAUACCUCAAUGCAGUUGAGGAGGCUCAAGGGAUGGAGGUUGAGCUCCAAAUUACUACUGCGCAGAAGAAUCGUUUUGGCAAUGUCACUGGUAAUGAGCAGAAGAGAGCUCAUCAGGAAGGGGGUGAGAACUCGCAGCGACCACCUUUCAAGAAGUACAAACAAAAUCAGGUCACUCAACCAUCAUCUAAACCUAGGCAGUGGGGUUCUCAGCCUAAUGCAGCUUCACGUCCAACGGAGUCUUAGUUGAUUCGCCCUGUGCCAAGGCAAGGGCUAAUUUGCUUUAAGUGUGGAAAGAAUCACCAUUCAGCAGAGUGUGGGUUUACUGGGGCAUGUCGUGGGUGUGGCAAAGCUGGACACAUGGAGUUGGUAUGUAAGCGUAACCCAAAUUCUAUCAUCAAGUGGCAAAAGCCGAGCUCCUAUUCAGCAACCUCUUCAACAGCUAGCUAUCCUCGAGGUUUAGGUUCAUCCACUAGUACUCCCCGUGGUGCCGUUUAGAUGAUGACAACUUAUCCACUUCCUUACCAGCAGUUCACACAUAAUUACCCACCACCACCAUUACCAGGACAGUAUUGGCCCAUGCCUCAAUCUUUUGCUCCACGUGCUCCACUCCAGUUGCCUGCACCGCCUAUGGCGCAUCCUUCUGCUUCAGCUCCACCUCACCAGCAGGUCUCAGCCUCUACUACCCCAGCUAUAGCUGGAGUCUACAACAUGCCUGCAGCUUCAUCCCUUGGUCGCCCGGAUGUCGUUACAGGUACACUUUUAGUUGAUUCGCAUGAUGCCCUAGUUCUGUUUGAUUCUGGUGCUACAUUUUCCUUUGUUUCAAUCGAGUUUGCGAAAAGAGCUAAUCUAUUUAGUCAAGAGGUCUCUCGAUCUGUCCAAGUCAGCUCUCCAGGGGGUAUAAUCUCUAGUUCAGUAGUAUGUCUAGGUUGUGCAAUCUCUAUUGAUGGGGAGGAAUUUGUGGCAAAUCUAAUUGUGAUUCCCUUACCGCUCUUUGAUGUGAUCUUGGGCAUGGAUUGGUUGAACCGAUAUCGUGCUGUAAUCUCUUGUUUCUGGAAGACUAUUACCUUGGAAGCUCCAUCAGGCGAGGAGAUGGUUUUCCAAGGGAGCGCGCCUCCGCAUUCUCUUUUCGUGAUGUCAAGGUUAUUUCCUGGGCAGCGUGCUGUAAAGACGGGGUUAUUAUGGGCCUUAGCCGAGAAGUCAUCCAAGCCUUUAGUGAUUGAAGAUGUUCCUGUAGUGCGAGAUUAUCCUGAUGUUUUUCCCGCAGAAUUGCCAGGGAUGCCACCUGAGCGUGAUGUAGAGUUCCGUAUUGAUCUUGUUCCUGGUACACAACCUAUCUCCAGAGCCCCGUACCGGUUAGCUCGUCCUUUCCAAGAAGAGUUGAAGAAACAAUUAGAUGAUCUAUUAUCUAAGAAGUUAAUCCGACGGAGUGUGUCGCCAUGGGGCGCACCUGUUAUUUUUACUGAGAAGAAGGAUGGAAGUUGGCGUAUGUGUGUGGACUAUCGGGCCUUAAAUGCUGCGACAAUCAAGAACAAGUACCCAUUGCCUCGUAUUGAAGAUUUGUUUGAUCAGUUAAAGGGAGCGAAGGUGUUCUCUAAAAUUGACUUGAAAUCUGGUUAUAACCAAAUUCGAGUGCGAGAAGAGGAUAUUGAGAAGACUGCAUUUUCCACGAGGUAUGGGCAUUAUGAGUAUAGAGUAAUGUCCUUUGGGCUGACCAAUGCUCCGGCCUAUUUUAUGGAGGCGAUGAAUAGCAUGUUGCAUAGUUUUCUAGAUAAUUUCGUGGUGGUGUUUAUUGAUGAUAUUCUGAUUUACUCCAAAGAUGUAGAGGAGCAUGAGCGUCAUCUGAGGAUGGUACUAGGGACCCUACGAGAAAACAAGUUCUAUGCUAAACUGAAGAAGUGUGAGUUCUGGCUUCCUGAAGUGGCUUUCCUAGGGCAUGUAAUUAAUCAGCAAGGUAUCUCGGUUGAUCCAAGCAAAGUUUUAAGUGUUGUCGGAUGGGAAAGGCCGACUAAUGUUAAGGAUGUGAGGAGUUUUUUGGGUAUGGCGGGGUACUACCGACGCUUUGUGAAGGAUUUCUCGAUUAUCGCUAAACCUAUGACGAUGCUCACACAUAAGGAUGUGAAGUUUCAGUGGACGGACCAAUGCGAGUGUAGUUUCCAACAAUUGAAGCAGAGGCUGGUAACUGCUCCGGUGCUUACUUUGCCCCAACCUGGUAAACGUUUCACUGUCUAUUCCGAUGCUUCACGAGUAGGCCUUGGUUGUGUUCUUAUGCAAGAGGGCAAUGUUAUAGCUUAUGCAUCUAGGCAGUUAAAGAAGCAUGAGCAGAAUUACCCCACUCAUGAUCUUGAGCUUACAGCAGUGGUCUUUGCUCUCAAAAUUUGGAGGCACUACCUGUAUGGAGAAUCUUGUGAUAUUUUCCCUGAUCAUAAGAGUCUGAAAUAUAUCUUCACUCAGAAGGAUUUGAACUUAAGGCAGAGGAGGUGGCUAGAGUUGAUUAAAGACUAUGAUCUUAACAUUCAAUACACACCGGGUAAGGCGAAUGUGGUUGCAGAUGCUCUAAGCCGUAAGGUCGUUUCUCCAACUGUGAGUUGUUUGAUAACUGAUUUUGAACGGAUGGAUAUCUCCUAUUGUUAUGUUGGAGUGGCAAGUACCGAGUCACGAGUCAUUCUUGAGUCCGUCAUACCCCAACGAGUGCUAGAGGCCCAACAACACGAUCGGUUGCUGCAACAAGUUAAGAAACGUGUAAAGGAAGGAAAAACUGGAGAUUUCACUUUGGAUUCCUCGGGAGCUGUGCGAUUCCAUGGGCGUUUAUGUGUUCCACAAAAAGCUAAAGUCAAGGAAGAGAUUUUGCGAGAAGCACACCGAACACCAUAUACUGUGCAUCCUGGGGAGAACAAGAUGUAUCAUGAUCUGAAGAAGAUCUAUUGGUGGAAGAGGAUGAAAGUGGAUGUGGCCAAGUAUGUGGCAUCAUGUGGGGUAUGUCAGCGAGUAAAGGCUGAACAUAAGAGUCCUGCUGGAAAGUUGCAAUCAUUGGAAGUUCCUGUAUGGCCUUGGGAUGAUAUUGCUAUGGAUUUCGUGGUUGGGUUACCUCGAACUCCACGAGGAAAGGACGCCAUCUGGGUGGUUGUAGAUCAUCUGAGUAAGGUGGCACAUUUCAUUCCUAUCCGCACCACUUAUUCUGCGAGUGACUUGGCACCGAUCUAUUCACGCGAGGUAGUGAGGUUACAUGGUGUGCCUCGCUCGAUUGUUUCUGAUAGGGAUGCUAAGUUUUCUUCUAAGUUCUGGGAAUCUGUGCAAGAGGCAUUUGAUACUCAAUUGAAAUUCAGUACGGCUUUUCACCCUCAGACUGAUGGUCAAUCUGAGCGGACUAUUCAAACUUUAGAGGAUAUGUUGAGAUCAUGUAUCCUUUCAUGGAAAGGCAGUUGGGAGGAUCAUUUGCCGUUUGUAGAAUUUGCUUACAACAAUAGUUUCCAUGCUAGCAUUCAAAUGGCACCAUAUGAGUCACUUUAUGGAAGAAAGUGUCGAUCCCCAUUGUGUUGGGAUUCCAUAGGGGAGAGAGCUAUUUUAGGACCCGAUUGGGUACAACAGACCACAUAACGGAUAGCAGAAAUACGACAACACAUGCUUGCAGCUCAAAGUAGGCAGAAGAGCUACGCCGAUGUCAGAAGACGAGAAUUAGAGUUUGAAGUGGGCGAUCAAGUACUUCUAAAGGUAUCUCCAACCAAAGGUGUUGUGAGAUUUGGAACGAAAGGCAAACUCAGCCUUAGGUAUAUUGGUCCAUUCUCGAUAGUGGAAAGAGUUGGAAUCCUAGCGUAUCGCCUUGAGUUACCAGAGUCCAUGAAAGGUGUACAUGAUGUAUUCCAUAUUUCCAUGUUGAGAAAAUAUUGAACAUCAUAUUACCGUAGAGCCGAUGACCAUUGAGCAAGAUUUGACAUUUGAGUCUCAUCCUGUAAGAAUAUUGGAGGAAUCUGAGAGGGUGCUCAGGCAUAGAACUAUCAAGUAUGUCAAGGUUCUCUGGACGCACCAGACCGAGCGAGAGGCCACAUGGGAACUUGAGUCACAGAUGCGGGAGAAGUAUCCCGAGUUAUUCACGUCUGGUGAGUUAUAUAAGUCCUACCUAUGAGUUCCUUUCUAUACUUGUCCGAGGUAUAACUGGACGAAUUCGAGGGCGAAUUCGAUUGAAGGAGGGAGGAAUGUAAUAUCCCGUGUUCUAGAGUAUGAUUAGGCGAAUUCGAGGGCGAAUUCGAUCGAAGGGGGGAAGAAUGUAAUACCCCGAGUUUUAAAUUAAUAUAUCUCGCGGAAUAUUAGAGCAAACGCGCAAAAGUUCAACUUUUAAACCAUUGUUCGUAUAGGCGAUCGGGAACCGUGGAUGCGUAGAGCUCGCCGAGUAGUGCAAAAUAGACUAUAAAUUUAUAGUAAUCGGAGUCCGAACGAAGUCCCGAGGAUUGAAUAGAUAUGAGCCGUUAGAUCUUAUUUAGUCUCUUUAUAUAACCAACCAAAAAAAAACAAACGAAAAAAAAAAAGAAACAGGAGCGAUUCUCCUGUAGCCCUAGCCGCCGCACCCCCUGCGCUCUGCCGCCGCCGCUGCUGUUCCUCUCUUCGCCGACGCAGCCGCUGGUGCAGCCAUCGCCGGUCGCCACAGCCGUCGUCGUCCGCAGCCGGUCGUUGGUGAGCUACUGUUGUUUCUGUUAAUUUCCCUGCUGCUGCCGAACCCUGCUGUUGCCGAUCUGAUCUCUUCCUUGCUGGUGG